UGGAAGACUAGUGAUUUUGUUGU
rnacentral:ncRNA from 62 species